rnacentral:rRNA from 1 species
UACGUAGGGUGCGAGCGUUGUCCGGAAUUAUUGGGCGUAAAGGGCUCGUAGGCGGUCUGUUGCGUCAGGAGUGAAAACUCGGGGCUUAACCCCGAGCCUGCUUCUGAUACGGGCAGACUAGAGGUAUGCAGGGGAGAACGGAAUUCCAGGUGUAGCGGUGAAAUGCGUAGAUAUCUGGAGGAACACCGGUGGCGAAGGCGGCAUCCUGGACCGGUAUUGACGCUGAGGCGCGAAAGCCAGGGGAGCAAACGGG